rnacentral:rRNA from 1 species
UUUGAUCCUGGCUCAGAUUGAACGCUGGCGGCAUGCUUUACACAUGCAAGUCGAACGGUAACAGGCCGCAAGGUGCUGACGAGUGGCGAACGGGUGAGUAAUGCAUCGGAACGUGCCCGGUCGUGGGGGAUAACACUUCGAAAGAAGUGCUAAUACCGCAUACGAUCUAUGGAUGAAAGCGGGGGACCGUAAGGCCUCGCGCGAUCGGAGCGGCCGAUGUCAGAUUAGGUAGUUGGUGGGGUAAAGGCUCACCAAGCCAACGAUCUGUAGCUGGUCUGAGAGGACGACCAGCCACACUGGGACUGAGACACGGCCCAGACUCCUACGGGAGGCAGCAGUGGGGAAUUUUGGACAAUGGGCGCAAGCCUGAUCCAGCAAUGCCGCGUGCAGGAAGAAGGCCUUCGGGUUGUAAACUGCUUUUGUACGGAACGAAAAGGUCCUGGUUAAUACCCGGGGCUGAUGACGGUACCGUAAGAAUAAGCACCGGCUAACUACGUGCCAGCAGCCGCGGUAAUACGUAGGGUGCAAGCGUUAAUCGGAAUUACUGGGCGUAAAGCGUGCGCAGGCGGUUUUGUAAGACAGGCGUGAAAUCCCCGGGCUCAACCUGGGAAUGGCGCUUGUGACUGCAAAGCUGGAGUGCGGCAGAGGGGGAUGGAAUUCCGCGUGUAGCAGUGAAAUGCGUAGAUAUGCGGAGGAACACCGAUGGCGAAAGCAAUCCCCUGGGCCUGCACUGACGCUCAUGCACGAAAGCGUGGGGAGCAAACAGGA